rnacentral:rRNA from 1 species
CCCAAGUAGCGGCGAGCGAACAGGGAUGAGCCCAGCGCUGAAUCCCGCGCCCGGCACACGGGCGCGGGAGAUGUGGCGUUAGGGAGGGUCCGACAUCCCGGGGGCCCUGCGGCGCGCCUAAGUCCUUCUUGAACGGGGCCAUUCACCCAGAGAGGGUGCCAGGCCCGUGACGGCAGCCGCAGCCCUCGGGAGGGCCUCUCCUCAGAGUCGGGUUGCUUGAGAGUGCAGCUCUAAGCGGGUGGUAAACUCCAUCUAAGGCUAAAUACGACCACGAGACCGAUAGCGAACAAGUACCGUGAGGGAAAGUUGAAAAGAACUUUGAAGAGAGAGUUCAAGAGUACGUGAAACCGUUCAGGGGCAAGCCUGAGGCACCCGAAAGGUCGAGGCGGGAGAUUCAGUGCCCCGCGCGCCCGGCGACGGGCCGAGCCGCGUCGAGUGCGCCGCCGUCCCCCCGCACCCGUGCGGGGGUCGGCCGCAUUCCGCGCUCCCCGCCGUGUCCGGCGAGCGCGCGCGGGCGUGCACUUCUCCCGCUGUAGGACGUCGCGACCCGUUGGGCCGUCGGCCUUCAGGGCCCGCGCACCAGACCGGCGCCCGCCGCAUCCCGCCCUCAGGGGCGCGGGGCGGCGCGCGGCGCCGGAGGCGCGGUGCACCCCCGGCCGUCGCCCGACGGUAUCGAACGCUAGUACGGCGCACGGAGCCGCCUUCUCUUCGAGAAGGCGUCCGGCCCGCCGCGAGCACGGCGCGCGCGCGCCGGCGGUCGGACUCGCGUCCGGCCCCGGCCCCGCCCGGCUGUCGGCGGCGGAUGCCCCGGACGGACUCCGCUCUGCUGCCAGUCUGCGACGCUUCAGCUUCGGGCGGUCUCAGGACCCGUCUUGAAACACGGACCAAGGAGUCUAGCAUGCGCGCGAGUCACUGGGACUGUGCGAAACCCAAGGGCGCAAUGAAAGUGAAGGCCCGCCUCGCGCGGGCCGAGGGAGGAUGGGCCGUCCCUGGCGACGGCCCCGCACUCCCGGGGCGUCUCGUCCUCAUCGCGAGGUGAGGCGCACCCAGAGCGCGCACGCUGGGACCCGAAAGAUG